GAUAGUUCUCUCCGCACCCUUGCAUUGUGUUUGGGACUGACGAACGUGUAAGUUCGUUGCAUUUUGGAUACUAUUGAGGUUGCGUAUUGAAAAAAACAAGAUGAAGUUAUUUUACUUCUUGUUAUUCCUAUUGGAUCCUCAAUAUUCAACUAAAAUAUUAUGUGGUGUGACUAUUAGGCCGCCGACUACUAAAGAAAACUACACGGCUUUGUAUAACAUACUUGUAUGUCCUGAAGGCUUCUUUGUGUCAAACAAAACCAAAAUGUGCCAGUUGAUAACAGAUAAUUCCAGUUAUUGCCCGGAAGGCUUUGAGCAUGCACCAAACAACACAACUGUAUGCAUACUUGACACUCUUAAUAAUGAAAUGUGUCCUGACGGUUUCAAGUAUGCAGAACUCGAGUCAACAUGUGUUUUAGCAAUCGCCAUCCGUUUUGAAGACAACAACAGAAGCAGUUGCCCUGCGGGAUCAGUCAACCCUCCCAUCAACUGCACAACUUGUGCUUCUACUCAAUCAUCUACCACUGCCACCAGCCAUGCACCAACUACUGCCACCAGCCGUGGAACAACAACUACUGCUGGACAAAAAGAACUGGAGAGUAUACCGGACUAUGGCAUCGCUCUGAUAGCUGUAUCUGUUUUGAUUGUUAUAGGAUUAACUAUUUUACGAAUGGUUUAGACCAUCUAACCAGACAGUACUGUGUAUAUAACCUUCACGCUUUUGUCUGCAUUUGCACUAUGUAUUAGCACCCACGCUUAUACUUUCUUACAGCAACUUACGGGUGUAGCAGUAUACAUAUGUUACAGAAGACAGAGGAAUGCCAGCAGUUCUCAAGAUGCAGGAGGAGAGACAUCAGUCCCACUCACAGGUAGCUCGGAAUAAAAAUGGACUAAAAAAUGUCAAGAGUUUAUUUUUUAAAUUAGUAUUAUUAUUAUUAUACAUUAUAUAUUAUAAAUAAUUUUUGUACUAAAUAUAUACAGGAAUUGUUUUGGUAUUGAAGAGUUUAUGCAAUUUUUAUGCAAUUUAUUUGUUAUUAAUGGGCCUGUCCUGAGUUUGUGCCAAUGUUAGAUGUUUCCGACUAAAAUUACCUUUUUAUAACAACUACAUGUAUACUUAUACAGCCCUUUUAACCAUUAAACUUAUUUAUUAUCCACAUGGUUCAACAUAACCAAGCUAAUAAAAAUCAUACAAAACAUACCUGUAUGCAUGGUGUAAUUUUGGGAAAGACGUCAUAACAUGACAUUGCUUCCCCAGUCCUAGCUCAAACUUUACAUGUGAAAUAUGAUGUCAUUUCGUCGUCUUCUCGAUGUGGUUAAAAAAGAACAAUAAUAAUAUGGAUAAUAAAGAAAUUAUUCCCCUCUGGUCAGGAUUUAUGUAUUACCCUCGCUCUGGCUCGGGAAAUAAAAAAAAUCAGUAUAACACAAGCUCGUAUAUAAUAUCUAUUAAUGACGUAAUUUUGAGAUACGACGUCAUAACGACGUAGGUUCCCCAGUCCUAGCUCUGAUUAAGCUUGUUAAAUAUGACGUCUUUCAUCUCCUAAGGUCUACGACAGUCACCUUUCGCACCCUUGUUUUGACUUCAUACACAAUAAAUAAAACAUAUCCAA
rnacentral:misc_RNA from 1 species